rnacentral:tRNA from 1 species
GCCCCUGUAGCUCAGUGGAUAGAGCAGCGGUUUCCUAAACCGCGUGUCGUGAGUUCGACUCUCACCAGGGGUACCA